rnacentral:lncRNA from 1 species
AGAAACCCUAGAACCCGAACCAGAACCCCAUCUCGAAACAGAACUCUCAUCACUCCUUGUCCUGUCCCUAUCACCGUAAGAUCUAAACCCACCACCAAUCUUAGUCCGGUCCCGUUCAAGUUCCUCAGCGGUUCGCUGACGUGGACCGGUGGGAAGAUCAACCGGAUCUUGAGCUGUAUAAGAAGAAACAGGUUUAGCAGUGAACUCAGCCAAACUUAGGGUCUGUGCUUUCUUCUUUUUAGGUUUUGUUGCGGCGGCGACAGCGAGGGAAGGGAAUUCCGCAAGUGGUUUGGUUUCAACAACGUUGUUGGUGGUGUGUUGUUGAAGAAGUUCAGCUUCG